rnacentral:rRNA from 1 species
GAUGAACGCUGGCGGCGUGCCUAAUACAUGCAAGUCGAGCGAACAGACGAGGAGCUUGCUCCUCUGACGUUAGCGGCGGACGGGUGAGUAACACGUGGAUAACCUACCUAUAAGACUGGGAUAACUUCGGGAAACCGGAGCUAAUACCGGAUAAUAUAUUGAACCGCAUGGUUCAAUAGUGAAAGACGGUUUUGCUGCCACUUAUAGAUGGAUCCGCGCCGCAUUAGCUAGUUGGUAAGGUAACGGCUUACCAAGGCAUCGAUGCGUAGCCGACCUGAGAGGGUGAUCGGCCACACUGGAACUGAGACACGGUCCAGACUCCUACGGGAGGCAGCAGUAGGGAAUCUUCCGCAAUGGGCGAAAGCCUGACGGAGCAACGCCGCGUGAGUGAUGAAGGUCUUCGGAUCGUAAAACUCUGUUAUUAGGGAAGAACAAAUGUGUAAGUAACUAUGCACGUCUUGACGGUACCUAAUCAGAAAGCCACGGCUAACUACGUG